GCAAAGACCUAUAGAUUACACAGAUUGGAAUCUCUCGUCUCCGCUAUAGCGAUAUGCGAUAAUAUCUAUCGGCGGACGCGGAUCACGUGACAUUGAUUUUGGAGAUGCCGGUGUACCUGUAGAAUCUUCCCUGUUCCAGCUGCUGUCGGCCAUUUUCUUUUAAAGCAAACAAUUAUUCUUCGUAAUUAGUCGUUAAUAUUUGAUGUCGUAGGGUAUUCUGAGCAUGAUCUGAUCAAAAUGCCAAAAAAAAAGAAGAGAGCAGGUGUUUCUGGUCGGCGUCAUAAAUACCA